UGUUUUGUCACAAUGACACACAAUGUCAC
rnacentral:piRNA from 1 species